UCUCUCAGCCCCACCUACCUCACAGGGUGUUUGUUGUGAGGGGGGAAGGGCAAGUAGAUUGUCAGCCCCUUUGAGUCUCCUGCAGGAGAGAAAGGGGAUAUAAAUCCAAACUCUUCUUGCUAUCACCUUUAGACUGAAUUCAUACUUUGUGGAAGAGCUAUAAGUAUACCCAGUAUUCUUACUUUGAAGUUUAUGGUUCAUUACUUCUUACCUGCUGUUGAUGAAUGGCAAUCCCUUGUUGUAUGCUAUUAACAAUUCAUUGUGAAUAAGUAAACCUCAGUUGUGUUCUCCAGCUGUCUUAAUGUUUUAUGCCAAGCCCAA